rnacentral:rRNA from 1 species
GACGAACCGUGCGAACGUUGUUCGGAAUCACUGGGCAUAAAGGGCGCGUAGGCGGGCCGUCAAGUCAGGGGUGAAAUCCUCCAGCUUAACUGGAGAACUGCCUUUGAUACUGACGGUCUCGAGUGAGGUAGGGGCGUGCGGAACUGAUGGUGGAGCGGUGAAAUGUGUUGAUAUCAUCAGGAACUCCGGUGGCGAAAGCGGCACGCUGGACCUUUACUGACGCUGAGGCGCGAAAGCCAGGGGAGCGAACGGG